AAGUCGUAACAAGGUUUCCGUAGGUGAACCUGCGGAAGGAUCAUUAACACUAACUUUCUUAUCAACCUAGGUGCAUCCGUCUGAACCUUUUAAUUCAGAGGUCGACUAGACAAUGGUUGGAUUCGGUCUAGUCUGCUGUUAAGUUAGCCCGUCUUCUUCGGAAGGCGAUCGGUCUGACGCUCUGUCUUAGAAGGCAUACAGUCUCAACCAUGGCUGGCCCCAUUUUUUUUUUUAAACCUUUGAAUCUUGUACUGAUUUGGGCUUCAGAUCGAGAGGAGUAAUUCAGAUCGAGAGGAGUAAUCCUUUCUCUAAGCUUUUGAUGGAGUCAUCCAUUCAAUUAACCAAAACACAACUCUUAACAGUGGAUAUCUCGGUUCUC
rnacentral:misc_RNA from 1 species